UGGGGAAUCUUCCGCAAUGGACGAAAGUCUGACGGAGCAACGCCGCGUGAGUGAAGAAGGUUUUCGGAUCGUAAAACUCUGUCUUUUGGGGCGAACGUGAGUAUGGUGAACAAUCAUAGUCAGUGACGGUACCAAAGGAGGAAGCCACGGCUAACUACGUGCCAGCAGCCGCGGUAAUACGUAGGUGGCAAGCGUUGUCCGGAAUUAUUGGGCGUAAAGAGCGCGUAGGCGGGAUAGUCAGUCUGUUGUAAAAGUGCGGGGCUCAACCCCGUGAUCGCAAUGGAAACAGCUAUUCUUGAGUGCAGGAGAGGAAAGUGGAAUUCCCAGUGUAGCGGUGAAAUGCGUAGAUAUUGGAAGGAACACCAGUGGCGAAGGCGACUUUCUGGACUGUGUCUGACGCUGAGGCGCGAAAGCCAGGGGAGCGAACGGGAUUAGAUACCCCGGUAGUCCUGGCCGUAAACGAUGGGUACUAGGUGUGGGAGGUAUCGACCCCUUCCGUGCCGGAGUUAACGCAAUAAGUACCCCG
rnacentral:rRNA from 1 species